rnacentral:lncRNA from 1 species
UGAGUCAUAUGGAGAUUGAGUAUUUUAGUUUGAUUGUGUUGAGUCAAUUGGAGUUUGGGUCCCAAAGCCAUGAAAUCACAUUGAGCCCAUGGCGUUGAGGAGUCCUUGAGUGAUUAAGAGUUGUCUAUUUGGUCCAUAUGGCGUUUGGAAAAGAAUCCUAGUUGAUUUUGACUCUCUUCCAUGCAUCAUGAGGAGUCCUAGAUUAUUUGGAGUUUUAUUUAUUGAAUCCAUGUAUCGUUUGAAAGAGUCCUAACUGAUUUGGACUCUUAGUCCAUGUGUCUUUAAAGAGUCCUAGUUAUUUUGGAGUCUUAGUUGGUUUAGUGAAUUUCGUCAGUUGAUUUCAUCAGUAAAUUUCGUCAGUUAAUUUCGUCAAUUGAUUUAUUUGAUUUAAAAAGUCCAUAUUUAGUUAGAAUCCUAAAAUUAUGGUUCUAAAAGUCCUUAUUUUUUCAAUCUCUUACUCUAUAUAAAGAAGAGGUUGAAGAAUAAAAUUCAGAAAUUUUGGCUUGCAAAUUGCGGGAGGCUUCUUUUUCCUCCUUUGGUGAGACUCCAAAGGUUCCUUUUUUCCUCGAAUAAGAUGCCGGAAAAUUCUUGGGUUUAGAAUAGAGGUGACUCUUCUAUUCAGCUCAUAGUUAUCUUGUUACUAUCAGAAUCGCAGCACCUUCCAUUGUUCCUUCUUCCACCCGUCAACCUUCAUCAUGCCAUAGCUCUAAUCCCUUAAGCGUCCAAUCAUCACAAAGUCCUUUAGGUUUCUGAUCUAAAUCGUAGGCCU